CUCUCAAGAAGUUAGCGGCGGACGGGUGAGUAACACGUGGGUAACCUGCCCAUAAGACUGGGAUAACUCCGGGAAACCGGGGCUAAUACCGGAUAACAUUUUGAACUGCAUGGUUCGAAAUUGAAAGGCGGCUUCGGCUGUCACUUAUGGAUGGACCCGCGUCGCAUUAGCUAGUUGGUGAGGUAACGGCUCACCAAGGCAACGAUGCGUAGCCGACCUGAGAGGGUGAUCGGCCACACUGGGACUGAGACACGGCCCAGACUCCUACGGGAGGCAGCAGUAGGGAAUCUUCCGCAAUGGACGAAAGUCUGACGGAGCAACGCCGCGUGAGUGAUGAAGGCUUUCGGGUCGUAAAACUCUGUUGUUAGGGAAGAACAAGUGCUAGUUGAAUAAGCUGGCACCUUGACGGUACCUAACCAGAAAGCCACGGCUAACUACGUGCCAGCAGCCGCGGUAAUACGUAGGUGGCAAGCGUUAUCCGGAAUUAUUGGGCGUAAAGCGCGCGCAGGUGGUUUCUUAAGUCUGAUGUGAAAGCCCACGGCUCAACCGUG
rnacentral:rRNA from 1 species